AAAUUGUCUUUAUUCACAGAUAACGUGAUAGGGUUCAUAGAAAAUCCCAAGAAAUCUGUAAACAAGCUACUAGGACUGUUGAAUGAAUUUAGCAAGAUCAUAGAAAACAUGACCAAUAUUCAAAAAUCAAUUUUAUUUCUAUAUACUAGCAAUGAACAAUUGUAAAAUGAAAUUUAAAAUAUAAUGCUAUGUACAGAAACAUGGAAUACUUAGGGAUACACUUAAAAAUAUGUGCAAAUCAUGUAUACUGAAAAUGAUCACUAGAAAAAUUAAAGAAGACUUAAAUAAAUGGAGGGAUAGCCGUGUUCAUAGAUUGAAAGAUUCAAUGUUGUUAAGAUGUCUAUUCUACCCAAACUGAUCUUUUGAUUCAAUACAAUCCAAUCAAAAAUCCCAGUAGGAUUUUUGUAGAAAUUGAAAAGCUGAUUCUAAAUUAAUGUGGAAAUUCAGAGGACCUGAAAUAAGCAAAUCAGUUUUGAAAAAGAAAGAAGUUGGAGGAGUUAUACUAUCUGAUUUCAAGGCUUACUGUAAAGCUGCAGUCAUCAGGACAUCAUAGUCAUGGUUGUCAAGGUAAUCCAACGGAGAAGAUUAGUCUUCAGAAAAUGUUGCUGGAAGAACUAGAGUUCAUUGGCGGGGGAGGGGGAAUGAGUCUUGACCCUUACCUCACAUUAUAUGCAAGAAUUAACUCAAAAUGGAUCAUAGACCUAAACAUCAAAAGCUAAACUAUAAAUCUUCUAGAAGAAAACAUAAGAGGAAAAAAAAAAAGCGCUGGCCAUAACAAAAAAUUUUUUUGAUAAAUUGGACUUGAUCAAAACUUAAAAUUUCUGCUCUUUGAUAGACACCAUUGAGGAAUUAAAAGGCAAACUACACACCGAGAGAAAAGAAUCCCAUUAUCGCUCCAAACUGGAAAUAACCAAAUGACCAAUAGCAGGGAAAUAGAUAUACAUAUUGCAGUAUAUUCAUACCCAAAUACCACACAUGAUAUAAUACUACUCAGGAACAAAAAAAUGCAAUAGUAUGGAUAAGUCUCAAAAACAUGCUGAGUGAAAGAGCCCAAUUACAAGAAUACAUACUGUAUGAUUCUAUUUAUCUGAAAUUCUUGAAAAGGAAAACUAUAGUGUUAGAAAGCAGAUCAGUGGAGGCCUUGGGCAAGGGUGGGAAAUUGUCUGCAAAGGGUCAUGGGGGGAUUUUGCAGGGUUAUGAAAAUGUUCUAUGUUUUGAUUGGGGUAAUGGUUAUACCUGUUGCCAUCGAGUCGAUUCUAACUCAUACCGACCCUAUAGGACAGAGUUGAACUGGCCCAUAGGGUUUUCAGGGCUGUAACCUUUAUGGAAGCUAACUGCCACAUCUCUGUCCUGCAUAGUGACCGGUGGGUUCGAACUGCCAAACUUCUGGUUAGCAGCCAAGCACUUAACCACUGUGCCACCAAGGGUUCCUUGAUAGUUAUACAGGGGUAUACAUUUGUUAAAAGCCAUUGAAUUGUAUACUUAAAAUGGGUAUAUUUUAAUGUAUAUAAGUCAUCCCACAAAUAAAGCUCAUUUUAAAAAAAUAUACAGUGUGUAUUGGUUGUCUGUGUCCACCCCAAAACUUAGUAGCAUAAAACAGCAGCAGUCAGUUGGGGAUUUCCAGUACAGUAGAGUGAGGAGGUCGACAAAUCCUCUCACAAAAAGCAGCCGUAAAGCUGGACAGAACUAUCUAAAAGAACCAUUUCAGAACUCUGGAAAUCAACUAAAGAUAUAUAACAAACUAAGAGGUGUUUAUUCAUGAAAACUACUUUAUUUUGGGUAAGAACAGCGUGAGUCUGUGACAGUUUUGCCUGGGGCUGCUCCCAUGCCCUCUCAGCUCUUUCUGUAUAGUAGUUCACCAGGGUGGGGCAAGCUGUGAAAACCAGCAGCUUUGGUGCUACUGCCAGAGUAGGCUCUCUUGAUUUAGAGAAUUUUCAGUUAAAGUGAUGAUAAGGAAGGCCAGUGGCUCUUCUAGCCUGAGGUUAAGGCCCAGCAGAGCCCAGGAUUUAACAGGGAGUUCUAGGAGGUGAGACAACAAUAGGAGGCUUAUAAGCUUAUCACAUAUCCUGGUUUGACCAGAGGCUGUGCCCAUGCUCAUCAGAAACCAGAGUGAGCUCAAGCCAACCAUAUAUUCCUGGCCAGCAGAGGUUGCAUGCAUGCACAAAGAGGUACAAAAGAGCUGAGCAAAAAGUAAAAUCUAGGGGCAGCCUUGAAAAGAGCCUACACUUUUAAUGUCCUCCGCAGCCCUCACACAGAUCCAUCAACAUAAAAUAGAAGCUUACUUACUUAACUGAACACUAAGCUAUGAAGACUCAGGGUUCACAUCUAGGAAGUUGACACUUAGAAAAUAAAAAUAGGAAAAGGUAUCUUAUACUAAGGAAGAAACCACUUAGUAGAGACUGUCUCAGGGUGGGGUAAGAUGGAUGUUGGACUUAGUAGGAAAAGAUUUCAAAGCAGCUGUCAUAAGUAUGUUCAAAGAACUGAAGAAGGAGUCCAGUUUUUUUCAAAAUUAAAGUAUGAUAAACAUGGCCAGGGGCCGACUGCAGAACAGACUGUCAAUUGCUUAUAUGCAAGUUUAAGCUGAAGCUGAAGAAAAUUAGAACAAGUCCACAAGAGCCAAAAUACAACCUUGAGUAUAUCCCACCUGAAUUUAGAGACCCUCUCAAGAAUAGACUUGAUGCGUUGAACGCUAUUGACUGAAGCCUAGACAAGUUGUGGGAAGGCAUCAAGGAUAUCAUACGUGAAGAAAGCAAAAGGUCAUUAAAAAGACAGGAAAGAAAGAAAAGACUGAAAUAGACGUCAAAAGAGACUCUGAAACUUGAUCUUGAACGUAGACUAGCUAAAGUGAAAGGAAGAAAUGAUGAAGUAAAAGAGCUGAACAGAAGAUUUCAAAGGGCGGCUCGAGAAGACAAAGUAAAAUAUUACAAUGAAAUGUGCAAAGACCUGGAGUUGGAAAAACAGAAGGGAAGAACAUGCUCGACAUUUCUCAAGCUGAAAGAACUGUAGAAAAAUUCAAGCCUCGAGUUGAAAUUUUGAAGGAUUCUAUGGACAAGAUUCUGAAUGAAGCAGGUAGCAUCAAAAGCAGAUGGAGAAAAAGACUGGUCAGUGGGGGGGAGAGAGAUGCUGAUGAAGAGUGAGCUAAUUAACUCAGGUGGACACUGGAGAGUGUGUUGGCAACUCUUGACUGGAGGGGGGAUGGGAAGAUAGAGAGGGAAGAUGGCAAAAUUGGCACGAAACGAGAGACUGUAAGGGCUGACUCAAUAGGGGGAGAGCAAGUAGGAGAAGGGAGUAAGAUGUAUGUAAACCUACAUGUGACAGACUGAUUGGAAUGGUAAAUGUUCACUUGAAGCUUAAUAAAAAUUUAAAAAAAAAAGAAGAUCAGACUGGAAAAAAAAAAAAAAAAGAAGAUGGAAGGAA